UACGUAGGGAGCAAGCGUUGUCCGGAAUCAUUGGGCGUAAAGAGCGUGUAGGCGGUCCGUUAAGUCGGCUGUGAAAGUCCAAGGCUCAACCUUGGGAUGCCGGUCGAUACUGCCGGGCUAGAGUCGGAAGAGGUGAGUGGAAUUCCGUGUGUACGGUGAAAUGCGCAGAUAUCGAGGAACGAACACAUGGCGAAGGCAGCUCACUGGGACGGUACUGACGCUGAGACGAGAACGUGGGGAGCAAACAGGAUUAGA
rnacentral:rRNA from 1 species